rnacentral:lncRNA from 1 species
AGCUCUGAGCAGUGGUCUGCCAGUCCAGUCACACAGAUAGCCAGUGAAGAUCAAAGAGCCAGAUCUGGGAGGAGCUUGGAGAUCAUUAGUCCUGACUUUACAGAGAGGAUUUGCAUUUUACUCACCCAGGGUCACACGAGCAUCAAAGGUGAGAUGGUCCCUGUAUGCUUCCCACUGGGCCAUGAUUCUUCUGACUUCUCACCAUACUUCCUGUGCCU